CUUACGAGGUGACCCUUCCGCAAAAAUCUGCUCUCCAAAUGGAUCUGUUCUCCAAGCUGCAGAGUAAAGACUCUUAUCAAGAUUAGAGACCAAUCACGGUGUCUAGCUUUCAGAAGUGCAACAACUCCUGAAAUUACAGGAGCAGCCAUUGAUGUUCCAGACAACAUAAUGAAUCCUUUGUCGUUGAAAGUUCUGUUUGUGGUUGUAGCCGCUAAUAUGCUCACUCCUGGUGCUGCUAUAUCCGGCUGCAUUACAACAUUCAUAUGAUUAUAAACAACUUGAGGCAAGAUAGUGUAACCGGUCUGAAAAACAGAACAAGAAAGGAUUCUAACAUACUUUUAGUAUCGAAGGCUCGAUCGAAUUAGGACCUCUGGAUGAGAAGUCUGCAACCUUUGUACUCACUGGUUGUCCAACAAGUGUUUUAGAAGGUUGUAUCUUCACAACAGAAAAGUAUAUUUGUCCCGAGCUCGUAGUCAACAGAAACACAAGGGAAGUCAUCUACACAUGGUGAAAGAUUGUCUCCGGGGUUUCUUGC